rfam:Triticum aestivum genome assembly, contig: Triticum_aestivum_CS42_TGACv1_scaffold_212756_3AS
AUUAUACUCCCUCCGUUUCAAAUUACUCAUCGCAGAAAUGGAUGUAUCUAGAACUAAAAUACAUCUAGAUACAUUCAUAUCCGCGACAAGUAAAUCGGAACGGAGGGAGUAUGUG